GUCUGCAGCCAUACCACCCUGAACACAGCGAGUCUCAUCUGAUCUGGGAGGCUUAGCAGGGUCAGGCCUCAGUAGUACCUGGAAGGAAAAUGAAGCACAUAGGAUG
ensembl:rRNA 5S_rRNA 5S ribosomal RNA